AUGAUGUCUCCUUCUCAACUUCUGCUGAUCUUACUAUUCUGAUUCCUGGGCCUGAUAUGUGACAUCCAGAUGACACAACUCCACCCUCCUUGUCUGUAUCUCUAGGAGACAGAGUCACCAUUUCUUGCAGGCCAGAUGAGGGUAUUAAUGAUUGGUGAGCCUGGUUUCAGUAGAAACCAGGGAAUGUUCCUAAAUUCCGAAUAUACCAUUCUAUCAGUGUGAAAUCUGGAGUUCCUUCAAGGUUCAGUGGCAGUGAAUUUGGUAAAGAUUUUAUUCUUACUGUUAACAAACUGCAAUGUGAAAAUAUUGCUACUUAUUACUGACAACAGUAUUUUUGUAUAACUAC